rnacentral:rRNA from 1 species
GUGAAAUUGUUGAAAGGGAAACGCUUGAAGUCAGUCGUGCCGGCGGGGGAUUCAGCGAACUUCGCGGAGUGAGCGUAUUUCCUCGCAUGGCAGGUCAGCGUCAGUUUUGCGCGUCGUGAAAGGGCUCGGGUAAGGUGACUCUCUUCGGGGAGUGUUAUAGGCCUGAGCAGAUGCGAUGCGCGGGGGACUGAGGAUUGCAGCGAACACCCGUUCGGGGCGCGGCGUCGGGGUUUCUGUUCUGUCACCUGUGUCCGAUAGCGUGCUAACGGAUGUGGGAGCGGCGGUUCACCAAACUGGAGCGCCAGCGGUUCGCUUAGGACGCUGACGUAAUGGCUUUAAACGAC